rnacentral:rRNA from 1 species
AUUGAACGCUGGCGGCAUGCCUUACACAUGCAAGUCGAACGGCAGCACGGGAGCAAUCCUGGUGGCGAGUGGCGAACGGGUGAGUAAUAUAUCGGAACGUGCCCAGUCGUGGGGAUAACGUAGCGAAAGCUACGCUAAUACCGCAUACGAUCUAUGGAUGAAAGCGGGGGAUCGCAAGACCUCGCGCGAUUGGAGCGGUCGAUAUCAGAUUAGGUAGUUGGUGAGGUAAAGGCUCACCAAGCCGACGAUCUGUAGCUGGUCUGAGAGGACGACCAGCUACACUGGGACUGAGACACGGCCCAGACUCCUACGGGAGGCAGCAGUGGGGAAUUUUGGACAAUGGGCGCAAGCCUGAUCCAGCAAUGCCGCGUGCAGGAUGAAGGCC